GGAUAGCCCAGUUGGUUAGAGUGCAGUGCUGAUAACGCCAAGGUUGCAGGUUCAAUCCCCAGAUGAACCA